AUUGCAGGCUGCAACUCGCCUGCAUGAAGUCGGAAUUGCUAGUAAUCGUAGGUCAGCAUACUACGGUGAAUACGUUCCCGGGCCUUGUACACACCGCCCGUCAAACCAUGAGAGUCGGAAAUGCCCGAAGCCAGUGACCCAACUGCAAAGAGGGAGCUGUCGAAGGCAGGUCUGAUAAUUGGGGUGAAGUCGUAACAAGGUAAC
rnacentral:rRNA from 1 species